AAUGGCAGGAGACACCAUGAGAUGUUUUCUACUGUAGAAACUUUCUCAUUAGAAAUAGCCCAUUUAUACAGGGGACUGGCUAAUGUUUUUCUAUGAGUAUCAUUAGCCAGUGUCUCAAAGUGGUGAAGAGUAAGUAUAUAGCAUCUUUCAAAAGUCACUUAUUGGUAUCUCCUCCAGUCCCAGAAGGAGGAGUUGAGGCCGACAUUGGACAAACAAAGCCUUAAUUUAAAAGCAGGGACUGCAACCUGGAACAAGGAGAGACAAAGGGAAGGAGGAGUCUGGAGCCAUAUUGAAGAUGAAAUUGAGAUAUGGACUAGGUGGUGGAUCGUUUUUAUAAGAGGACAUAAAAGAGGAUGCUAAAGCUAAUUGCCACAAUCAGAACUCAAAGACCUAGCAAAUGCAAGACACUGGCCACCUCCCUGAACCUGGGCCAAGAUGAGGGUCUACACCUUGGCUUAGUUCUACUAUGAAAGACUUUCCUGCAGUAAAAGUUACCUGUCUGAAACAUUCAGAAGAGUGAAAAUGCCACAUCUCCAAUUUCCAGCAAUAUAUUUGUCUGCCAUGAUUUGGCCUGGAAGCUUAAGCAGGAAGACCACUUGGAGCCAGACUUCAGAGUGAUCUGUCUCUAAGGAAUAACUUUCAUAUUGCAGCGUUCGGUUUUGCAAUUCUUCCUAAGCUACUCUAAAUUCGCAGCAUAAAUCUGCAGAAAGACUUCACCCUCCACAUCAAACCCUUAUAAGGAUCCAUUUCUGCUCUCAUUUUAGAAUAUCUUUUCUAAUAGCUAAAGGCAGACAGAGGCAAACCAAGAAAUCCAGACUUUGCAUCAACGGGUUAAAUCAUAUGUCAAAGGUGCAACCAUAACGUAUUACAAGCUUCUCAUCACAUAAUACAUCACUCAAGAAAAAAUAUUUGGGCAGCUUUUCUAAUUCAUCUUCCUGGUGUUAAAGGAGCACAUCUCCAGUGUUCGUGUCUUCUGUUUCAAUUAAAGCAAUCAUGCCUACUCUUUUAGGAAACUA
rnacentral:lncRNA from 1 species